CGGAGGUUUGAGAAAAUAAGGCAGUUAAAUGUACUGCAUUUAUUGGUUACAGCCUCCAAAAUCAAAACUGCAAAAGCAAGUCCUGUUCCUUUGACCUGUGUAGGAACUCUAUUGCUGGUUGCAUAUA
ensembl:snoRNA small nucleolar RNA SNORA47